rnacentral:tRNA from 1 species
GGAGGUAUAGCGCAGUGGUAGGGCACGUGUUUAGCACGCACGAGGUUCUGGGCUCAACCCUCAGUACCUCGA